CCCUUAGAUGUUCGGGGCCGCACGCGCGCUACACUGAAGGAAUCAGCACGUCUUUCUCCUUGUCCGAAAGGACUGGGUAACCCGCUGAACCUCCUUCGUGCUAGGGAUUGGGGCUUGUAAUUCUUCCCCAUGAACGAGGAAUUCCCAGUAAGCGCGAGUCAUAAGCUCGCGUUGAUUACGUCCCUGCCCUUUGUACACACCGCCCGUCGCUACUACCGAUUGGAUGGUUUAGUGAGAUCCUCGGAUUGGUCCCGGCGCGGCCUCUGGUCGUGCCGGAGUGCCGAAAAGAAGGUCGAACUUGAUCAUCUAGAGGAAGUAAAAGUCGUAACA
rnacentral:rRNA from 1 species